UACGUAGGUGGCAAGCGUUGUCCGGAUUUACUGGGCGUAAAGAGCGCGCAGGCGGUCGUUCAAGUCGCGUGUGAAAGCCCCCGGCUCAACUGGGGAGGGUCACGCGAUACUGAUCGACUGGAAGGCAGGAGAGGGUAGUGGAAUUCCCGGUGUAGUGGUGAAAUGCGUAGAUAUCAGGAGGAACACCGGUGGUGUAGACGCUUUCUGGACCGUAACUGACGCUGAGACACGAAAGCGUGGGUAGCAAACAGG
rnacentral:rRNA from 1 species